rnacentral:lncRNA from 1 species
UAAUAAGAAACAUUCCUCCUGGAACCUGUUCCUGUUCAAACCUGGAAAUAAGUUCGACUGCUUCUAGUGUUGCUACUACAAUUAGUGGCCAAGAACGCACAACGGCGGCGGCUAUAAUAAGAAACAUUCCUCCUGGAACCUGUUCCUGUUCAAACCUGGAAAUAAGUUCGACUGUUUCUAGUGUUGCUACUAAAAUUAGUGGCCAAGAGUCCAUCUUAGGGCAAAAUAGCAACAAAAUUCAAAGAAGUAUUUUUAAUGAAAGCGAAGAAACUUCUGCUUUUCAACCUACAGCUCCGUCGACUACAAACAAUCCGUCGACUAACGCCAAUCCGUCGACUACCGCCAAUCCGUCG